rnacentral:rRNA from 1 species
AGUCGAGGGGCAUCGGGGAGCGAAGCUUGCUUUGCUCCGCCGGCGACCGGCGCACGGGUGAGUAACGCGUAUGCAACCUGCCCGUUUCAGCGGGAUAACCCGGAGAAAUCCGGCCUAAUACCGCAUGUGGCCGAGGGAAGGCAUCUUCUUUCGGCCAAAGGAGGCGACUCCGGAGACGGAUGGGCAUGCGUGACAUUAGCUUGUUGGCGGGGUAACGGCCCACCAAGGCGACGAUGUCUAGGGGUUCUGAGAGGAAGGUCCCCCACACUGGUACUGAGACACGGACCAGACUCCUACGGGAGGCAGCAGUGAGGAAUAUUGGUCAAUGGGCGAGAGCCUGAACCAGCCAAGUCGCGUGAAGGAUGACGGCCCUACGGGUUGUAAACUUCUUUUGUCAGGGAGCAAUUGGGUCCACGCGUGGGCUUAGCGAGAGUACCUGAAGAAAAAGCAUCGGCUAACUCCGUGCCAGCAGCCGCGGUAAUACGGAGGAUGCGAGCGUUAUCCGGAUUUAUUGGGUUUAAAGGGUGCGUAGGCGGAAUAUCAAGUCAGCGGUAAAAAUUCGGGGCUCAACCCCGUCGUGCCGUUGAAACUGAUGUUCUUGAGUGGGCGAGAAGUAUGCGGAAUGCGUGGUGUAGCGGUGAAAUGCAUAGAUAUCACGCAGAACUCCGAUUGCGAAGGCAGCAUACCGGCGCCCAACUGACGCUGAAGCACGAAAGCGUGGGUAUCGAACAGGAUUAGAUACCCUGGUAGUCCACGCAGUAAACGAUGAAUGCUAAUUGUCCGGAGGGAUUGACCUCUGGGUGAUACAGCGAAAGCGUUAAGCAUUCCACCUGGGGAGUACGCCGGCAACGGUGAAACUCAAUGACGGGG